rfam:Hordeum vulgare subsp. vulgare, WGS project CAJW01000000 data, contig: morex_contig_184509
CAAAUAUUCCCUCCAUCCGGAAAAAUACUUGUCUAAGGAAUGGAUGUAUCUAGAUGUAUUUUAGUUCUAGAUAAAUCCAUUUCUAUCUAUUUUUUGACAAGUAAUUCAGGACGGAGGGAGUACUAC